AAUUGAGCAGUGACAAGCACAAGAUGACCCCAGGUUGUCCCAACAUGCAUGUUUAUAGCUGGGCUUAGCUUUGUGCACACGCGUCUUUUAGUGCAGACCCUUUUUGAAAGACGUCCUCUCGUAAAACAGCUUAGGAAGACAGGAACGGAUUAGAGAGACCGAAACAUUGAAGGCAGAGAAAUACACAUUAAAUCCUCUUCUUUCGCUUUGUCUGAUACAUGAAGGACAGGCGAGACACACACGGCUUCUGUAAUGCAUGUUUGCGUGUAAGUGUGUGUGUGUGUGUGUGUGUGUGUGUGUGUGUGUGUGUGUGUGUGUGUGUGUGUGUGUGUGUGUGUGUGUGUGUGUGUGUGUAUGUGUGUGUGUGCGUGCGUGCGUGCGUGCGUGCGUGCGUGCGUGCGUGUGUGCAUGUGUCAUACCCAGCUUGGAGUGUCCAAAGCAGAAGACGCAUCCAUCUGCUCCAUUCACAACCGAUUGAAUCACCUCGGCAACCGUUCCUGCGCAUACUUCCGCCUAGCAACAGGUAAGGUAAGGUAAGGUCAGGUAUAGUCAAAUACAUUAAAAUGUGCUGCUAAAACUAACAAAACUCAUGUGGAAAAUAUAUCCACCUUUUGACAUUGCAUAUAGGCCAAUCAUUGAUAGACUUCCGUUAAAUUGUAACACCAUGGUCAUAAGCUACUGUUUUCAUAAUGUUUUCCUUGACUUUUUCCUGUCAAAACUUUGAAAUUGUUGACUUUCUCUUACCUGAGAUGCGUCAGGAGGGAAAGCGGCGUCAAAGGUAAACAUCUUUGGCGGCACCUGACUGCUCCCUGCUUUUUUCUGGGAGGCGGCGCUAGGUGGCUGAUUGGCGGACGGGUCCAUGAUGGUGAUUUGUUUCUUCCUGGUGUCCACUUUGAGGAAAGAACUGGACGCCGGCGCAUCCGACUGAGCAACUGGACAAACACGCACCAUCACUUUCACCUGAGGAAGAUGAAGAGAAGACUUUUAGAUGCAAAUGAGUUCCUGCUGCAUCUCGGGAGAACAAUCCACGCAUCACCAUGCGACUCCGACUUAACAGUGGGCUGUGAACACAACUGAAGCCAACUAGGAGGAUGGAACAGGCAGAACAUCUACGUCGCGCAACCUUUUCCUCUCUUCUUCCCUGGUGUCAUCUCUUCUCCACUUACAGUGGUCUGGGCUUAUGUCAAUUAGUCCCCAGCGAGGCACACCUGCAACAAAUCUCUACCCAGUAGUAUUUAAGCUCGUCACCGACAGCUGGUCCCUGCCGGUUAUUGUCUCCUGCACCUCCCACGUGCAUGUGCCUGAUUCACUUCGUCCUGUCUGGUAUGUUGUCUCUCCUUAUUCCUGAAAUUCCUCACCUCUUUGUGUUUGCUUCCUAGCCUCCCUGAGGUAAAGAGGAGUUUGUGUUGGACCUUUUGUUGAGCGCAGUGCGCCCUGGCCUUUUCCCCUGCCGACCACUGAGGGACCUGCUUUUGUUUGCUUAUUCGUGGUGUGCACUUCUGCCCCAUCGCUUUUUGUUACACUUUUUGGACUCAUUAAAUUGUUUAACAUUUUGUCAUUCUACCUCGCCUCCCGUCUCUGCAUCCUGGGGUCACCUCCUUGAUCAAAUCCUAACAGAAUGGACUUCUACAGUAUCUCCUUCUAGCUGCUUCUCAAAUACACCAU